CUACGGGUGGCUCCAGUGAGGAAUAUUGCACAAUGGGGGGAACCCUGAUGCAGCAACGCCGCGUGGAGGAUGACGCAUUUCGGUGUGUAAACUCCUUUUAUAUGUCAAGAAAAUGACGGUAGCAUAUGAAUGAGCACCGGCUAACUCCGUGCCAGCAGCCGCGGUAAUACGGAGGGUGCAAGCGUUACUCGGAAUCACUGGGCGUAAAGGACGCGUAGGCGGGUUAUCAAGUCAGGUGUGAAAUCCUACAGCUUAACUGUAGAACUGCACUUGAAACUGGUAACCUAGAGUAUGGGAGGGGCAGAUGGAAUUAGUGGUGUAGGGGUAAAAUCCGUAGAUAUCACUAGGAAUACCUAAAGCGAAGGUGAUCUGCUGGAACAUAACUGACGCUAAGGCGUGAAAGCGUGGGGGGCAAACAGGAUUAGAUACCCUGGUAGUC
rnacentral:rRNA from 1 species